CAAGUUAUACCUAAUAGUUAGGAGUUUUAUUUACACUAAAAUUUUAAUUGUGCAAUUCAAUGUGACUUGA
rnacentral:tRNA from 1 species